AAUAAGAUGAAAAUACUUUUAAUCUGAAUUAUGCAAGCAUGAAAACAUAAAACCAUAUGGAUCUAACUUAUAUGCUGAAAUUGAUAUAUGCUGAAAUUUAGAUUGUGAUCAAAUCACAUACUUGUUUCGCAAUCCUUUUCUUAAAAUCUGGAUCUGAAAGAAAAAAGAUUCUUUUUUAGCCGCACAAAUGUCCAGCCUCUACGAGUAUCCACUCA
rnacentral:lncRNA from 1 species